rnacentral:rRNA from 1 species
AUACGAAGGGGGCUAGCGUUGUUCGGAAUAACUGGGCGUAAAGCGCACGUAGGCGGAAUGUUAAGUUAGAGGUGAAAUCCCAGGGCUCAACCCUGGAACUGCAUUUAAUACUGGCAAUCUAGAGAUCGAGAGAGGUGAGUGGAAUUCCGAGUGUAGAGGUGAAAUUCGUAGAUAUUCGGAGGAACACCAGUGGCGAAGGCGGCUCACUGGCUCGAUACUGACGCUGAGGUGCGAAAGCGUGGGGAGCAAACAGGAUUAGAUACCCCGGUAGUCC